rnacentral:pre_miRNA from 1 species
CUAGAUCUAUGCAGAUGGGAGUAGAGGACCAAGAAAAAUUUCAGGGCACCUAAUCUUCACUCUCCCUCAAGGGCUUCUGGUCCUUACCAUUCAUGGUAAGAGGAAUAGAGGCCUUAGGGGAGAGUGGAUGCUAGGUGUUUUGGUUUCUAUCAAUCGGUUAUACUUCCUAGCCUUGGCCUUAG